rnacentral:tRNA from 1 species
UGAGAGAUGGCUCAAUGGGUAGAGCACAUGGCUUCUAUGCAUGAGAACCUGGGUUUGAUUCCUGGCACCGCAG